rnacentral:rRNA from 1 species
GGCACUACGGUGCUGAAGCAACAAAUGCCCUGCUUCCAGGAAAAGCCUCUAAGCAUCAGGUAACAUCAAAUCGUACCCCAAACCGACACAGGUGGUCAGGUAGAGAAUACCAAGGCGCUUGAGAGAACUCGGGUGAAGGAACUAGGCAAAAUGGUGCCGUAACUUCGGGAGAAGGCACGCUGAUAUGUAGGUGAAGUCCCUCGCGGAUGGAGCUGAAAUCAGUCGAAGAUACCAGCUGGCUGCAACUGUUUAUUAAAAACACAGCACUGUGCAAACACGAAAGUGGACGUAUACGGUGUGACGCCUGCCCGGUGCCGGAAGGUUAAUUGAUGGGGUUAGCGCAAG